UUAAAAGAUUCUACCUUUUUUUGCAAUAGGUGUUUUGCUUUCUUUAAAGUAAAUCCUUCAGUUGAGGUAUCACUUGGAUAUAAAUCCUUCAUCUUAAAGUAAAUCCUUCAGUUGAGUGAACAUGACCAGAGGCAAACUAAUAGUGUUUCAGUAAGCUUAUAAAUUUUCCAUAGAGAAGAAAUGAAGGGAGAAGCAUUCUUAGAGGUAUGCUUAUGAACACCGUUUGAUUCUUGGUCAUAUGUAUCACUCUUGGCUUUAGGACACUUCUGAUAUCGUCUCGAGAAAAGACAAAAGCAUUUGGUUGGCAUUUGGUGCUGAUGUGGGUAUUUCUUAUUAUGUCAUCUGCAGUUGGACCUCAACAACAGCAAGAAGUUAUGACCCGGUUACUCGAGCCUUCGAGCCAUCAGUGAACUCAAGUCGAUUAGCAAAAUGCAUAUUUCUCUGAUCCUACAGCAUAAAAUAGUUGGCUUAAUCUGGCUAAUUGAGUAUUAUUACAUGCAUGAAUCACUCACGAAUAGUAAGCAUGAUCGGAAGCUUUCAAAAGGACGUUCCUUAUAAUAUUGCUUUACAAGUUGCGGAUUAGGUUUACAUAAUGCAUGUUGCAUUAGUGAUGGUAAAGCGGUUACAGCAGAGGAUCAAGACGAUUGGAUUAAAGAGAAAUGGGACUUCUUUUGGGAUAGAUGCAAAGAGCUUAGGUUGGAUCCGUAUUUCUGUGUCGAUGAUGUAGGAGAGGAUAACAGUGGUAUGGCUCAGUAUUUCUCUCAUCAAGUCUGAACCGAUUAUACGAAUGAAGUCGGCUACUAAUCCAACUGAAAUGGGUGGAAACAUUGUGGUUACUAUGACACGAUCACCAUCACUUUCCACCUGGGUACCAACAAGUGUUUGUUUAAGGUUAUUUCCGUUCCUACUUAAAAAAUAAUGAAGUCUUUCCCGUUGGGGUUUAAGGAGGGGGUGUUUGGUUUAGUCAAACAUUAUUAAUCGGGUUUAGUAUUGCACAGUAACAGGUUAAUUAACUAAUCUGAAUGCUGAAAGUUAUUGUUCUACAGAAACAAAAAAGUGAUUUACUGAAGCAUUGGCUGAUAGUCAUAUAUUUUAUCUUAAUUAUUUUAUUAUAGCAAUCAGUUAUCUAUAACAUUCCAUAUCACGGUAACUUCUGUUUUGAGAAAAUGGGUAGAUUGAUUGAUGUUUGGAACUGAUUGUAAGGUCUUUGAUUGUGCAUUGUAUUUCUGAUUGAUAUAUAAGAUUUUGUUGAUUGGUAUAAGGUAAUAAGAUGUGUGUGAAAGUGUGAAGACGAAUAAGUGAGAU